rnacentral:misc_RNA from 1 species
AUUAGCGGGGUCCUCUUUGCCGAUCCUCGACGUGUGAUAAGAUGUUUCCAUGUCUUGGUUUCUGGCUCUGUCGCCUUUGGGACCCGCUUCUAACCGUCUCAAGUCGAGACAACGUUUGAGCGUGUCUCCCUUCUCGGGAAACACCCUCGAGCCCACGAACCCUUGACCUCAAAUCGGGUGAGACUACCCGCUGAACUUAA